GCGCCCGUAGCUCAGUGGAUAGAGCGCUAGGCUCCGGACCUGGAAGCAGGAGUUCGAUUCUCUUCGGGCGCACCA
rnacentral:tRNA from 1 species